rnacentral:lncRNA from 10 species
UUCGCCCACUGCCCUUCAUCAUCAUGUACCCCGGAGUCAACCUCAGAGCCCUUUUCUCUUCCCACAUGCACUCUGCAAGAACCUCAUCCACCCCUUGGGCACUGAGCAGAGGUAGACGCCCCCCAGCUCUGUCCUUCCCGACCCCUGCCCACUUGAUUCUGAGCUCUGCACCCUCAGCCACCAGUGGCCUUUCCACAUGGACUUGCUGCAAAUGACCAGUCUGGCUGAGGGCCCUGGGGGCCGGGACAUGACACCCUUCUCUCAGCCCUCAUCACAGUCUGUGAGAGCGGUGUGUCCUGGAGGGCUCAUCAUGGCUGCACAGACGGUCUUCUCAGGCUUCCUCACUCUGCCUUGUACCCCACAGCAUGGAUGUCUCAGAAAGUACGGAGGGGG